GGAUUGAAAUGGGCGCAGCCUGAUCCAGCCAUGCCGCGUGAGUGAAGAAGGCCUUCGGGUUGUAAAGCUCUUUCGGCCGGAACGAAAUCGGGUGCGUGAAUAACGCAUCUGGAUGACGGUACUGGAAGAAGAAGCACCGGCUAACUACGUGCCAGCAGCCGCGGUAAUACGUAGGGUGCGAGCGUUAAUCGGAAUUACUGGGCGUAAAGCGUGCGCAGGCGGUUCUGCAAGUCAGAUGUGAAAUCCCCGGGCUUAACCUGGGAACUGCGUUUGAAACUACGGAGCUGGAGUGCGGCAGAGGGGGGUGGAAUUCCACGUGUAGCAGUGAAAUGCGUAGAUAUGUGGAGGAACACCGAUGGCGAAGGCAGCCCCCUGGGCCGACACUGACGCUCAGGCACGAAAGCGUGGGGAGCAAACAGGAUUAGAUACCCUGGUAGUCCACGCCCUAAACUAUGUCAACUAGUUGUCGGGGAAGCAAUUCCUUGGUAACGAAGCUAACGCGUGAAGUUGACCGCCUGGGGAGUACGGUCGCAAGAUUAAAACUCAAAAAAAUUGACGGA
rnacentral:rRNA from 1 species